UCCCUCUUAGCUCAGCUGGUAGAGCGCGUCACUAGUAGUCAGCUAUGACGAGGUCAGUCGUUCAAGUCGGCUAGAGGGAA